GAGAGAGAAACCUAAAGGUUAGGUGUUAGUCUGUCGCACUAAAUAUUGCGGGUUCGAGUCUCGUCUCUCUCG
rnacentral:tRNA from 1 species